ACAGGCUCUACAUCAAUUUUUCUUUGACUAUUGAUUUUUUUCGUUUCUGGUUCAGAAAGCUUUUGAUUAAUUUGGGCUUUAAAGUAUUUCAAAGUAAAAUUACAUGUUAAUACGUAGUAUUAAUGGCGAGACUCCUGAGGGAGCAGUGCCAGUCGAAGACAGGGGCCCCAACACAGAAGCUGACAUAUAGUCAGCUUACAACAAUGUGCC
rnacentral:sRNA from 1 species